rnacentral:rRNA from 1 species
CCAAUAGCGUAUAUUAAAGUUGUUGCAGUUAAAAAGCUCGUAGUUGAAUUUCGGGGUUAGUAAGUUGGUCGUGCCUAUGGUAUGUACUGGCUUUACUGAUCCCUCCUUCUUGAAGAACUGUAAUGUCAUUAAUUUGGUGUUGCAGGGAAACAGGACUGUUACUUUGAAAAAAUUAGAGUGUUUAAAGCAGGCUAAGGCUUGAAUACAUUAGCAUGGAAUAAUGAAAUAGGACGUUUGAUCCUAUUUUGUUGGCUUCUAGGAUUGACGUAAUGAUUAAUAGGGAUAGUUGGGGGCAUUAGUAUUCAAUUGUCAGAGGUGAAAUUCUUGGAUUUAUUGAAGACUAACUACUGCGAAAGCAUUUGCCAAGGAUGUUUUCAUUAAUCAAGAACGAAAGUUAGGGGAUCGAAGACGAUCAGAUACCGUCGUAGUCUUAACCAUAAACUAUGCCGACUAGGGAUCGGAUGAUGUUAAUUUUUUAAUGACUCAUUCGGCGCCUUACG